ensembl:lncRNA
GUAUCGAAGUGAGUGUGUGUAAGAGUAUCAAAGUGAGUGUGUGUUAAGAGUAUCAAAGUGAGUGUGUGUUAGUGUAUUAAAGUGAGUGUGUGUUAGUGUAUUAAAGUGAGUGUGUGUUAGUUGUAUUAAAGUGAGUGUUGUUAGUGUAUUAAAGUGAGUGUGUGUUAGUGUAUUAAAGUGAGUGUGUGUUAGUGUAUAAAGUGAGUGUGUGUUAGUGUAUUAAAGUGAGUGUGUGUUAAGAGUAUCAAAUGUAGUGUGUGUUAGUGUAUUAAAGUGAGUGUGUGUUAGUGUAUUAAAGUGAGUGUGUGUUAGUAGUAUCAAAGUGAGUGUGCGUUAGAGUAUUGAAGUGUGUGUUCGUUAGAGCAGCGGUCCCCAACUCUUUUGUUUUUGCGCCACGGACCGGUUUAAUAUCAGACAAUAUUUUCACGGACCGGACGUCAAGGUGUGGUGGAUAAAUACAACAAAAUAAAAUGAUACCGGCAUA